rnacentral:rRNA from 1 species
UACAGAGGUCCCAAGCGUUGUUCGGAUUCACUGGGCGUAAAGGGUGCGUAGGCGGUCGGGUAAGUCUGAUGUGAAAUCUCCAAGCCUAACUUGGAAACUGCAUUGGAUACUAUCCGGCUCGAGGAAUGGAGGGGAGACUGGAAUACUUGGUGUAGCAGUGAAAUGCGUAGAUAUCAGGUGGAACACCAGUGGCGAAGGCGAGUCUCUGGACAUUUCCUGACGCUGAGGCACGAAAGCCAGGGGAGCAAACGGG